rnacentral:lncRNA from 1 species
AAAAUAAGUACAUGAUAUCAAACAUGUUGUUUUAAAAAUGAGUUAUUAAAUUUAUUAUUUUAGAUAGCUGACUGGAGACCAUUUAAUUUAAUGUGAGACCUCUAAAUCAAUGUUGGAGUAUAUAACCUAGAAUACUAAAAAAAAAAUUUCAUAAUUUAUUUUUUCAUAAUUUUUCUGAGUUGACAUUUGAAGCAUUUAAAAUAG